GGGGCUGUUAUGGAUUUGACAGAAUAUACAAAAAUUGUUGCAGCAUGUCGAGGAUUGGUUUGCCUCGUUAAAAAACCAAUUUUAUUAAAUGCAAAACAAAAAAACUACGCUUUAGCAGCUUAAAAAACUAGAUAAAGCCCUUUCUCGCUGAUCUAUUUUCUUCUCUUUAUUAGGUAAGUUAUAUAUUAGAAAGGUUAUAUAAAAAGAGACAUUCUUAUAUUGUUAAUCUUAAAACAAUAAGAUUGUAUUUUAUUAAGAUAAAAAAUAAAAUUUUGUUUAUUAAGUUUUAUUUUAAAAAAUUAAAUAAACUAAACAUGUAGAACAAUAAUAUUAGUUAUUUUGGACGCGGGUUCAAAUCCCGCCAGCUCCAA
rnacentral:tmRNA from 1 species